rnacentral:rRNA from 1 species
UGGGGAAUUUUGGACAAUGGGCGAAAGCCUGAUCCAGCAAUGCCGCGUGCAGGAUGAAGGCCUUCGGGUUGUAAACUGCUUUUGUACGGAACGAAAAAGCUUCUCCUAAUACGAGAGGCCCAUGACGGUACCGUAAGAAUAAGCACCGGCUAACUACGUGCCAGCAGCCGCGGUAAUACGUAGGGUGCGAGCGUUAAUCGGAAUUACUGGGCGUAAAGCGUGCGCAGGCGGUUAUGUAAGACAGAUGUGAAAUCCCCGGGCUCAACCUGGGAACUGCAUUUGUGACUGCAUGGCUAGAGUACGGUAGAGGGGGAUGGAAUUCCGCGUGUAGCAGUGAAAUGCGUAGAUAUGCGGAGGAACACCGAUGGCGAAGGCAAUCCCCUGGACCUGUACUGACGCUCAUGCACGAAAGCGUGGGGAGCAAACAGGAUUAGAUACCCUGGUAGUCCACGCCCUAAACGAUGUCAACUGGUUGUUGGGGAAUUAGUUUUCUCAGUAACGAAGCUAACGCGUGAAGUUGACCGCCUGGGGAGUACGGCCGCAAGGUUGAAACUCAAAUGAAUUGACGGGG